ensembl:lncRNA
CUGCUGACCUCUGUUGUGGACUUUGUCCUUUAGUUCCUCCAGUAUGUCAAGUCUCCAAAACUUAGGGUCCCACUCUCUGUCUCCAGAACCCCUGAGCUGCCAUUCUGGCCAUCCGUCCUCACUGUGAAUGAGAGACUUUGACUGCUGUAUUUAAGGAGGUCCCUCUAUCCCACCUGAACACCAGAUCACCAGCUUUACUGCCUUCACAGCUCUCAGACAGAAAAGACUUCAUUAACUUGAUUUCUUGCUUUGUUAUCUGUGUCCCCGCUAUAAGAUUUGCUCUCGGAAAAAUCGCAAAAUAUUAGCAUUUUUGCUUCAAAUGUAGUCGACUGGUCAUCCUCAGAGUACAUGUUGAAUCAGGCAGAGCAGUCAACAAACUCAGGGAUCAUACAAAAGGAAAAGAAAAAGAAAAGGAAGAAUCUGUCAUUUUCAGAAAAACCAGGAGACAGAUAUAAACCACAGAGUCUGCAGCACCUGUAAGAACUGCUAAGAGAAGCUGAAAUUGUGUAGCAGCUGCCGAGGAGGAAACGAAAAGUAACACAGAGAGUGGGAGAGAGUUAGGGAUGGCGGAUCACGGGAGGUCCCCGCGAAAAUACCAUCCUGAAGGGGAAGGGUUCACUGAAGUGCUAAAAUGAACAUAGCUGUCCAGGAACUCAGGUUAGCAGGACUAGUGCAAGAGUGUGCCUUUCCUGGUUUGUCUCCAAGGAAUACAGUAACCAGC